AUGCUCUCUUUGGCAGCACAUAUGCUAAAAUUGGAAUGAUACAGAGAAGAUUAGCAUGGCCCCUGCACAAGGAUGACACGCAAAUUCGUGAAGCAUUCCAUAUUUUU
rnacentral:snRNA from 1 species